UGGAUUAGGCAUGCAAGUCGUACGCGAAAGAGGGGGCAACUCCUCGAGUAGAGUGGCGAACGGGUGAGUAACGCGUGAGAAACCUGCCCUCAGCAGGGGGAUAACACUCCCAACGGAGUGCUAAUACCGCAUGAGACCACGGGACCGCAUGGUCCUGGGGUCAAAGGUGGCCUCUGCUUGCAAGCUACCGGCUGAGGAUGGUCUCGCGUCCCAUUAGCUAGUUGGCGGGGUAAUGGCCCACCAAGGCGACGAUGGGUAGCUGGUCUGAGAGGAUGGUCAGCCACACUGGGACUGAGAUACGGCCCAGACUCCUACGGGAGGCAGCAGUCGAGAGGCUUCGGCAAUGGGGGAAACCCUGACCGAGCGACGCCGCGUGGAGGAUGAAGGCCCUUGGGUUGUAAAGCUCUUUUACCCGGGAAGAUAAUGACUGUACCGGGAGAAUAAGCCCCGGCUAACUCCGUGCCAGCAGCCGCGGUA
rnacentral:rRNA from 1 species